rnacentral:rRNA from 1 species
CCUACGGGAGGCAGCAGUGGGGAAUUUUGCGCAAUGCUCGUAAGAGUGACGCAGCGACGCCGCGUGAAUGACGAAGGCCUUCGGGUCGUAAAGUUCUUUCGACAGGGAAGAAAAUGCCUAUAAGUAACUGUGUAUGUAUUGACGGUACCUGUAUAAGCAGCCCCGGCUAACUCCGUGCCAGCAGCCGCGGUAAUACGGAGGGGGCGAGCGUUGUUCGGAGUGACUGGGCGUAAAGAGCACGUAGGCGGUGUUGUAAGUCAUUAGUCAAAGACUAGAGCUCAACUUUAGUAAGGCUAGUGAUACUAUAAUACGAGAGUAUCAGAGAGGAUGGCAGAAUUCCUGGUGUAGCGGUGAAAUGCGGAGAUAUCAGGAGGAAUACCGUUAGCGAAGGCGGAAAUCUGGCUGGAAACUGACGCUGAGGUGCGAAAGCGUGGGUAGAAAACAGGAUUAGAUACCCUUGUAGUC